rnacentral:lncRNA from 1 species
CACCUUGGCUGUGAAACGGGGUGUGUGUGGAGGGGUGGUGGGGAGGGGGCAGCCUGCGGGCGGGGACGUGGAGACGCGCAGGCUGGGGGCGGCGCAGGCGGGCUGAGGGGUCCUGGGCUCGCCAGGGCCUCGUCUGGGGUUAUGACUCCCGCGGGAAGCACGACUGCUUCGGAGAGUUCUCCACCGCCUUCGAGGAGAUGCAGAAAGCCUUUGGGGAGAACCAGUGGGACUGUGUGAACCCCAAGUACAAGCAGAAGAGGCGCAGUUACAGGAACUCGGGCGUGGCCUUGCUGGCAGACCCGAAGGUGGCUGUUGACUUCACCCUCGGAACAGCUGCUCCCUUCACUAUAUCAACUCCUUCCAGCCCAGCGAGUACCUGCAGGCCCUGGUGGCCGUGGGCGAGAUCUGCCAGGACUAUGACAGCGACAAGAGGCUCUCUGCUUUGGGGUUUGGAGCCCAGAUCCCUCCCAAGGAUGAGGUGUCCCAUGACUUUGCCAUCAAUUUCAACCCGGAGGACGGCAUCCAGGGCAUGGUGGAGGCGUCCCAGAACUGCCUGCCCAGGGUCCAGCUGUAUGGCCACCACGUGGCUCCCAUCAUCUCCAAGGUGGCCUGCACGGCUGCAGCUGAGGAACGCAGCGGAGAGGCUUCUGUAGGCGGUGGGCGGGCACUGCGGGGACCGCGUGCCUUAGAAGGUGUGCCUGCUGCUGGGGAGGUGGGACCGGAUGGGGGUUUGCAGAGGUUGACAGAGCAGCCCGCGGGAGGCCCUGAGGCAGGGAGCGAGAGGCAGCUGGGUGGCAGUGGGGCUAAGAGACCAGGAGGCCCCAGAGCCAGUGGGGUAAGGUGAAUUCUUGCCCUGGAGGCUGACUUGCCGAGCCCGCAGGCAGCCCGAUGCUUAUGGUUCUCUUGGUCCAAUUGUGCAUACGUCGUUAUUUUUUUUUUUUUUUUGUCUUUUUUUUGUUGUUGUUGUUGCUAUUUCUUUGGGCCGCUCCCACAGCAUAUGGAGGUACCCAGGCUAGGGGUUGAAUCGGAGCUGUAGCCACCGGCCUACGCCAGAGCCACAGCAACGCAGGAUGCGAGCUGCAUCUG